AAGUCGUAACAAGGUUUCCGUAGGUGAACCUGCGGAAGGAUCAUUAUUGAAUAUUCUUGAUGGGUUGUAGCUGGCUCUUUGGAGCAUGUGCACGCCUGUCUUGACUUAAUUCAUCCACCUGUGCAUCUUUUGUAGUCUUGGGGGUUGAGUGCAGUCGACUGUCGGACGGCUAUUGUAGUCUAUCCGGAUGUGAGGAAUGCUGAGUGCGGAAGCAUACGGCUCUCUUCAAAACGACUUGCAAACCCUCUCCCUCGAGUACUAUGUAUUCAUACACCACAUAGUAUGUUGUAGAAUGUGAUCAAUGGGCCUCUGUGCCUAUAAUAAUCAUAUACAACUUUCAGCAACGGAUCUCUUGGCUCUC
rnacentral:misc_RNA from 1 species